GGAAUGAUGAACAGUAAUCACUACAAUGAUGUUUGUUGAUUAUAACAUAUCCUCUAAGAAGUUCUGACCAU